AGUUUGCCUUUUAGAGUAGUGUUACAUCUUAAACAAUCCCCCCCAGCGGGGGAAAUGCGUGGCUGGCAAUUAUCAGGGAAGAAUUACAUUUGAAUGGCAAAUAUGUAAAGGCUGCACAAAUAUGUCAGCUGUUGAGUUAUCCUACAACAGCAUUAAAACUCGCGUCACUGACAACAGUAUAAAAAUUGUUAUAUUAGCAAGUUCCGUCCGUCCCAGUAGUGACAAGCAACUAUAACGCAGUUUAAGACCCAUUUAUCAGCACAGAGACCACAGGGACAAUGACUGACUGCUCCACAGAUUAGAAACAACUGCUUGUCAACAGAGGCUUCUCAGACAAAUCGGUGAGAAAGAGAAGCCACCAAAACCAAAUGAAUUAGGGUGGCACCUUUGCAGCUCCCUAUUUGCGCAUCCACAUCAACGUUUGGCCAGCUAGAUUGAGUUUUCCUCCACACUUUGACGAGCUAACAGAGCAAUUAGCCCGGCGCUAGCUUACGGAUGUGUCUGAGCAGAGGAUGAGUUCAGUUCCACACAAUCGCCUUUGGAGAACGCGAAGACGCAGCCGAUUCUAACAGGAUACUGCGCUAAGCAGCGUGACAAAGCUUAAAACAUCAAAUUGGUGAUGGGCAGUUGGCAGCUAACGCAAGGCCGCAUUUAUCAGCAUUUCCACCUGGGUUAAUGUCACCAUCGUUCAGUGGUCAACUGCAACACUGCUGUUCUUAACCACUGAUCGCUAUGUGGAUGUUAUUUGCUUGUCAUUAGCUAAUGUUAGCUUGGUUUAGCCCGACAGAUCUGACAAAUGUGCCCAUGGUGAAGCAGUUCGAUCCCAUCUCCUUACAGUUAGCAGUAGCAGUCCAGCUGGCCUCAUAUCCUCCUUCCGCAUCCAGUCCUUUCAAAAUCUCAGAGCUUUCCUUUCUCAGAAUGCUAAAGAUGUAAUCACCACACAGUUGGGGGUAAGAAGAGUGCGUCGCUGGAUGAGAGCGCGUGAGACACCGCAGUUGUCAUCUGAGGUUCGUCACACACUUUAAUUUUUAAAUAAAUGAGACUUGCAGCUCAUCAGCCAGCAGCAGCAGCUCAUCGGGUCCUUUAGCCGCCCAGUUUGAGCCUCACAGCUCACCCACAGCGGACCUGGCUCAGCCCCCUGGGAUUCACCCCCUCCAUCAGUCUCCACACACACACACACACACACACACACACACACACACACACACACACACACACACACACGGGCCAGGUGGCUCCCUCUGGCAUGAAAUACAAUCCUCCUAAAUUCUUGUCCUUUGUGUCGGGGCUCCUCAGCUCUUGUAGAACAAUGGAUGGUGGCUCUGGGGCUCUGGGGUUGGGGGGC
rnacentral:lncRNA from 1 species